rnacentral:rRNA from 1 species
CACGCAGGCGGUUCUGCGCGUUUCGAGUGACAGCGGGUGGCUUAACUGCCCGAGUAUUCGAAAGACGGCAGGACUUGAGGACCAGAGAGGGACACGGAAUUCCGGGUGGAGUGGUGAAAUGCGUAGAGAUCCGGAGGAACACCGAGGGCGAAGGCAGUGUCCUGGCUGGUGACUGACGCUGAGGUGCGAAAGCCAGGGGAGCGAACGGGAUUAGAUACCCCGGUAGUCCUGGCCGUAAACGAUGACCACCAGGUGUGGGAGGGAUCGACCCCUUCCGUGCCGGAGUGAACACACUAAGUGGUCCGCCUGGGGAGUACGGUCGCAAGAUUAAA